CCUACGGGAGGCAGCAGUGAGGAAUAUUGGUCAAUGGGCGCGAGCCUGAACCAGCCAAGUAGCGUGAAGGAUGACUGCCCUACGGGUUGUAAACUUCUGUUAUAAAGGAAGAAAGUGAGGCACGUGUGCCGUUUUGUAUGGACCUUAUGAAUAAGGAUCGGCUCACUCCGUGCCAGCAGCCGGGGUAAUACGGAGGAUCCGAGCGUUAGCCGGCUUUAGUGGGUUUAAAGGGAGGGUAGAGGGGUUGUUAAGUCCGUUGUGAAAGUUUGGGGCUCCACCGUCAAAUGGCACUUGCUACUGGCAGCCUUGAGUUCACUUGAGGUCGGCGGACUUCGUGGUGUCGCGG
rnacentral:rRNA from 1 species